AUGUUUUUGGGAGUAGCAGUAUACUUGAGGCUUUGGACCAUCGAUUAUUCUUUUUCUUCUGAUGACUCCGAAAUCCUAAGGUUUUUCUUCCCCUUCUGUGUUUUUUUCCUUUAUGGGUUCUGCUUCCUAAUCUUUCUUUCUUUCUUUUUGGUUUCUUUAAUGUGUAAUUGAACAUGGGGUUUUUCUUUUUGUGCUUAAAAAUCUUUGUAGAAGACAGUUUGAUCUUGCAAACAGGGAAGCCAUGGAUGAAUCUGCAGAGUGGAGGCUGAAAUAUGAUGUGGAAGUAGAGAGGUUUACCAACUGUGCCAAAGAACUCAAUGAGGUAUACAAUAACUUAAUUCAUUUGUGGGAUUAGUGUGUGUGCUUUGGAAUUAUUGGGGUUUUUUUAUAUGAUAGAUUCAUAGCUCAUGUGUCAUAGGAUUUUGUGAAUUGAAUUAAUUGCAAGAUAUGUAUAAUGUACCUUUGUAGCUAUAACUAUAUAUUUUUGUUUGUAUCAGUUCAUAUCCUUUUGUUCUUGAUAGGUAAGAACUCAAUUUUAUUGCCAAAAGGAACAAAAUAAUUUGUAUCAAUUUAUAUCCUGUAUAGAUGUUUCCAUAGAGAUAACCUGGCAAAGUUUUAUUUCAUUUAGUUUCAUGUUAUAUGAGUUUCUGGUGAGAAUUAUCAACUUCUAACCUGAAAUUCUGUUUUGUUUUAAUCAACCAUGAUUAACCUGAACUUCUAAUACUUGUGCUGUUAUGAAUUCAAACUUGGAUGGAAUUGUAUGCUGAGUUGGUGACAUUGCGUGCUUAUUAAAGUGUUAUAUAUGGAUGACUGAGCAUGUAUGGAGUAUGACAUUUGAGCUAUAAUCCUACAUUGCAUAAACCAUUUUGGGGAAACCAAAAUGUGGUUUUUGAGCUAUAUCCUAAGACUAUUACUGUAUUAAGUAUUUACGUGGCAAUUUAUAAUACUAUCUACGUAUAUCAUUGAAGGAUAUAGUUUAGUUCUAAAUCAGUUUGGACUUUGGAGCUAUUUCCUUUAACUCACUACGUUGUGAUUUAUAAGACUAUCCAUGUGUAUUAUUUAAACAAGUUACAUGACUUAUUAAAAAAUUCAUUUGUGGCAUUGGCCCAAAUUUAGGAAGUUCAUAUUCUAGAGACUUGUAUGCAAUGCAUUCCUCCAUGGUCUCAUUGUGAGGAUACACUCUCUGAUCACCAUUGCACCUCUACUACCUAUCAAAAUUCCAUCCAUGCCAUGGACCUCUGCUAACACUCCCCUCCUUCCAACCAAAAAGUCUAUUAAAUGAUUGAGUUUGUGCUCAAGGAGAGGGGAAAUGGGAGAUUUAAACUAUUGAGCUUCGCUUUAUAAGGUGUGAUUCCAGAUGAUUGUUCUACCCCUAGGGGGUUGGCUAGUUAAGAGAUUAUUGUGUGAAUAAUGUGCAUGGUGGACUGGAUGCUUUGGAACCAUCAUUUAGAUGAUUCAAUAUACAGCAGUUGGGUUAGUUGACAAAAUGAUAACUGCUCAUUUGCAUUAGCCUUCUAAUUGACAGUUGCUUUUUUUAGACUCCAGUAUUGCGUACACUUAACAAUUAUGAUUCUUCUCUAUUUUUCUAUUUCUUCCUUGUCUCUCCCUUUUUAGAAGUAUAGCUGAGGUUUAACAGCCUCUCUUCCUCUGGAUUGAAUAAUUAUGGAUCUCCUUGACAGAUUAAGGAGUCUCUCGAGAACAAGGUGGAAGAUGAGAAAUUGGCAAUGGUACAAAAGGUGACUCUUUACUUCAUAUUAUCAUGUACUUUCCUUUUUCUUUCCCUCAAUGUUCUAGUUGACAUUCUUUAGGAUGCAUUCAGUUUCCGCAUGAUGAGGGACAACCAAAUUCAAUAGCUUAGUGACAACUAAGCUGAGAGUUGUUUGCACAUUAGUAUUUAAUACAGUGCUUUAGUUAAAUCUAACUUUACUUCUGAAAUUGUCUUGAAAGCAAUCGUUGAUAUUUCUUCAAAAAGGCCGGUAGAAUUUCUUUUUUUAUUUUCCGAACCUUCAAAAAAGUGUUUUCACCUCUGUAUUUAUGGACAACCAUGGGAUUCCAGGGUACUAAGAAUAACUUAAAAGUUACAUUCAGUUUGAUUUUUCUGUUCUUUUUCUUACAAAUUCAAACAUUACCAGGAAAAUACAGCCUUGCUUGAAAGGGUGGAAGCCUUAAAACAGGAGCUUGAGGAUGCCAAGCUGAAGUGCAACUUGCAUUAGAUUAAUUGAUCACCAUAAAUUUGACAUUGGGUAAAUGAGAUUUCUGCAUAUUAAGCUUUACCUUCAUGUGUCAUUAGCAUGUCUCUGAGGGAAGCAGUACUUUCUGAGCAAAUCUUUCAGAGUGCAAAUUUUCAGCUCUCUUGACCGUUAUUCAAGCAUGGGAAAUAUAUCUUCGAUGAUAUAUAUGGUUCCUUCUCAGCUAUCAUGUAGAAUGCUUAGUAAGCAGAUAUUUCAACUAUGAGUUGUUGAAAUAAUGACGACCCUGAUGUUCUUAUUUUUCUCCUUUCCUUAUUACUAAGGGAAGGUUUGGGUUGGUCUCCGAAUUUCAACCUUCUCUUUAUGUAAAUUGUUUUUUAGGAGGAAAAUCUUUGUUGACAGAUCUUCUUGAAUUUUGGGCAAGAGAUUUGUUUGGUUGUGAAAGAGUAAAUUUUGUAUGUCUGUAAGAGUCAUCAUCACCAACAUUUAGAUGUAUAGGCCAGUGAAUCUAUUGAUUUCUGUUUCAAAAUGUUUUGCAUGUGUUUUCAUGUGGUUUGGAUGUUUUCCCCCCCCUGCUACACUUGGGGUAAUAAAGAGACACUCGUGUACUCUAGUCAUUAGCAAAAUGUUGCCAGGCUGCUAGCUAUGUAAUAGGACAGAAAAUUUUGUUUUUCGUUCAGGACUUCCUUGUCUCACCUACAUCUCUAGCUUCUCUAGCUUCAGAAAGGGUUUUGAGUUAUGGGCAAAGAUUGGGUCCAAUGGUUCCAGAGCGUUGGGCCCGUUGAUGAUGACGCGUGUCCACUUUGGUCAUAUGUUGCCAUCGCAACAAGUCCAAUGCAUUGGAGCCACUGGACCCAAGCCAAGUCCUCAAGUUCUGUUAUAUAUAUCACAUGGUGAAAAGCAUUAUUAUUAUUAAUGGUCCUCGGACCCAAACCUAUGGGGAAACUAGAUACUUACAGAAAAAUAGAAGUGGUAGACAGAACCAAGGUAUUGCAUGGUCCUCGGACCCAAGCCUAUGGUAAAACUAUUCACACCAUUAUACUUGGGUACUAGACAGAACCAAGGUAUUGCAUGGUCCUCGGACCCAAACCUAUGGGGAAACUAGAUACUUAUAGAAAAAUAAAAGUACUAGACAGAACCAAGGUAUUGCAUAGUCCUCGGACCCAAACCUAUGGAAAACUAGAUACUUAUACUAGAUACUUAUAGAAAAAUAGAAGUACUAGACAGAACUAAGGUAUUGCAUGGUCCUCGGACCCAAACAUAUGGAAAACUAAAUACUUAUAGAAAAAUAGAAGUACUAAACAGAACCAAGGUAUUGCAUGGUCCUCGGACCCAAACCUAUGGAAAACUAGAUACUUAUACUAGAUACUUAUAGAAAAAUAGAAGUACUAGGCAUAACUAGGGUAUUGCAUGGUCCUCGGACUCGAACCCAUAGAGAAAAUAACUAUCUGGAGAAAAACCAAAGCAUUACCUAGGGUCAAGCUAUAAUACGGUCUUUAGAUUUAUAUUUGAAGGAUAACAGAUGGUUUCAUGAGGCUAACUCCAGAAUAGAAUACGAAUAUUGAGCAGAAUAUUAUAGUAAAACAAAUAAAAGAAAAUAUCAUUAGUUCGAAGCAAAGUAUUAAGUAUUCAGUUCAAAUGGAAAGUGUACAACUUCCUUACAACGCCACUGAGGCAAGAAACAAAAUGAGAUAAAAGAGAAGAUAAAAGAGAAAAUAAACAAAAUUAUCCUAUGUCGUAUACUAGUCUCCCCAACUCAGUAGGCAAAUUAAUUCGAUAAGCAAAUCAAAAAGCUUUAGCUAAGGCCUAAGGGCUUGGUCUCGAAGGGUCCGCCAGAGGCCUCGCCACGUCUUGUGGUAUUUCCUGACCCUCGGUUAUAACUUCCCCCAAUGUUCUCUGGGGCUCAACCUCCUCGGGUGGUUGGUCAGUUAAAGAUAUAUCCUCGGCGGUCUUAUUGCGACUCUCACCCGCUGGUAAUAAGGACCCCUCCUCGGGAGCAGCAAGUGUAGUCUCGCGAAUUGCAGGAGGGUAAUAUACCCUGUCCUCCCUCCUAAGGUCAGAUGAGGCAUCAACCCCUGCUUGGUUGAGGGCUUCAAGCCAAGUCUGAGAACAGUAAUGCCUGCACACUGCAGGAACUUGAGCCCGAAGGGUGGCUUCAGUCUUAGCCACCCCAUCUGCGAAAACCUCCUCCUCUGCUUGUUCUACAGAGCGCUCAGCGUUUAUUUUUGCAAAAACCGCCUCGUCUUUGGCUUUCACAGCCUCGUCCCUGGCGUACUCGGCAACACCUUUCUCAUGGAUUGCCACGGUCAACUUUUCCUUCAUAUAGGUAAUGUCCCCUUUAGCAGUCUGUAGUUGACCCCCAACGUCUUGCAAGCGAUUAGUUUGAUCCUCAGCUUGCUUCCUGGCCACGGCUAGGUCGGAGAUAGCAGUAUCCCUGGCCUUCGUUAUCUCCUCCAGAUCCUCGGUCGCCUUUUUUAGGUCGGCCUCAGAUCUCUUGAGGGUAUUGGCAGCUUCCAAGAACUUGUCACGCUCUUGCGCUAAGGCAUUGCUCUGGCCAUCUACCUCCUCGUCUAACCUGAAAAGAGUCUGGAUAGCCUGCCAAUAAAAAUAAGUAACUCCGUAAAGAGAAAGGAAGGUACUAAACGACAAAAUUUGAAUAAAGUAAAUAGGUGCUAAAGGACCCACCAUGCCUAGAUAUUUCUUAAGGUCAAGGACGACCUUUAACCUACUCAUAUUUCUUAGCUUGGCCAUGUCAGUGGGAAGAAGAAGAGAUUUCUCCAGGGUCUCGGCUACGAGAGCCCCCUCGGCUCCUUGAGAUUCCCGCAUCGACGCGUUAUCCAUCAGGGGCUGAUCAUGGAGCAUGGCAGCAGGCAGCCAGGCUUGAGCCUCUGACUGCUGGAUGGCCUUCUUACCUUUUCGUUGACCACCGAGCUUCAGUUGCUUCGGAGGCCUGCGAAAUCUACCCUCCUCGGGCGGGGAAUGGGAUUUGCUCCCAUCCAUUGGCUCCUUACUCUUGGAAAGUCUCUUCCUUUUCGGGUCAUGAGACUCGGUCUGAGGGUCUGAUACUGUGGGGACAGAUGACGACCUGGUCUGCACAGUUAAAAUCUGGGACGGGGGUGCUGGGGGCUGGGGCUGCGACUCUUCCAGUACACCCUUCUUGGAACCGCCUUCGAGCAGGUCAAGAAGAUUGGUUUGGGGCUGUCUUUUUAAACCCAUCUCAGCCUGAGUACCAACUCUUAGGGACCGGAGAUCGGCUUCGGACAAAUGAGGGUCUCCUAGAUCACCAGAGGGAUCCUCGGACUGAUCAGCUAAGUUGAACACACUAUAUUCGUCCUCAGAAGAACUCAGUUCAACCACCUCUCUUGCCUUCUUAGAUAGUCCUUCUUCGGCCACCGUUACUUGUUAGGCCGAGGAGGGACCUGCUAGCGGAAUGCCUUCAGGUAUAUAAGACCCCUCGAAAAAUGCAAAACCGUCCUCCACCACGGUAAUCUGCGUAAGCCGAGGGUCACGAGCUUUAAUUACGUGCUUCGGGACUGGGAAUGAUUUCUGAGCUGGGUCACAUCCAAGGAUUUGAUGAGCAGCUCUGACCUGGUUAUCAGUCUCGUUCAGGAAAAGGUCUGACCUAAGAACGGUUUCCAAAUCCGCUUUGUUAACCAGGUGGAAAUGAUGUGCAAAGGCGUGCGGAUCUGCGAAAAGAAAAGUGAAAUUCCUAUGAUUAAUCAACCAAAUCGGAUAUACAGUUAUAAAACUCGAAAAUACUGAAACCUAGAUUAUCUUUUACUUCGGAUACCCUACUUGGCUCCCCCUCUACUGUUGGGCAAUGAAAACCGUUGUGCCACUCUCCCGACACUAUGAGGAAAUCUUGGGUCAACCCCUUAUUGGAAUCAGGAAGACACUGGAUGAGACGAACCCUAUCGUCCCUUGUCUUCAUAUAGUACGUCUUACCCCUCAGAUGAUGAAGGUUGUAGCACCAGUUCACAUCGUGGUGAGUCAGUCUCAGCCCCAUUUUCUCAUUCAGGGUAUCUACACACCCUAAUAUCCUAAAUACAUUCACGGCACACUGAGUAGGAGCCAGGCGGAAAUGCCUAAGGUAAUUGAGAGUCACUGGCCUCAUAGGGAUUCUCAUCCAUUCCCUCUACGAAAGCGACUAUCGGAAUCACGACUUCACCCUCUCUCCUCCUAAUGUACUACUUCCCUUCUUCACAGUACUUCAGACUCACAUUAUUGGGUAUCCCAUAGUCUACGAUGAAUUUGUUCAUCAUCUCCUCGGACUUAACUAACUUCUUAAACUUACCCAUCCCCCAAGGACAACUAAAAAUUUCAGAAGAAGAAAAGAAAGAAUAGAACCAAGGAAAAUUUGGGGUCACUGGAAGAAGAAGACUUACAGAAGUAUGACGAUGCUCUUCAAGUAGUGUGCAAGUUGAACCAGAUUCAAAUCAUACGCAUCAAUAAUUGUAAGCGCGAAAAUGAGGAAACCGAGCGGUUCAAACAGGUACUUAUACUCCCCCUUAGGUUCCCCAAAUGUAACAGCUUGCCCAUAAAAGCAGGGGAUCCCCACCGAACAAUUACCAUCAUACCGUUGAAAGUGGGGAACGUGGUGCCGCAAAAAUUUAAUGUGGGCACAGAUUAAGUCUUGAAACGCUAAAAACGCGCAUCGAGCAGUCGAAAAGUCACCAGCAUUAACACGAACCGAAGUGGGGCGACUCGUCUAGAGGGCCCGCAAGUAUCAAAACCCUCCUCCCCGUCUGAGGGAACGUGCAGCAGGGUUUUGAGGGGCUAUUGUGGGGCCCGUGGGCCUGAUAGCCUCAGUCCAUCAUGUAGCCGGCCCAAGGCCCAUGCCGAGGAAUACUGACCAUUCAAGGCUAAAUUGGGGAAGACCUCUUUUCCGGAUCCACGCCGAGGACCUCCUCGUCCUCGGCAUGACAAGGAUGAUUUUUGGGAAAGACCAGACCCAAAGUAAGCUGUCACCCUCACACUUAAUGCAUUCACCUAACCCCUCUGACCGCAUGAAUGGGGAUAUAACCCCUUAGCAGGGCAACGUUGAUCAGAGUGAAGCACUUGAGUACUGAUAAGGCCUCUGAUGGGACGGAUGGCCAGAAGAGAGGCAAAUGGAUGAUCAACAGAUGGAAUAAGGAGAUAGGAAGAUGAAGACUAUAUAAGAAAAGCAAGUAAAGUAAAAAGAGAGGGGGGGAAAAAAGAAGAAGAAAAGGGGCUCCUCGGCCACGGGCCGAGGAGCAUCCCCCCAGUUGUAAAUUAACUCUUAAGUAUUUUCUUUAAUAAAAAAAGAGUUCAUGCUUGGUGAACGACGGCCAGCACCUAAACCUUUAACCCACUCUCUAAAAAUUUAUUGUUUGGACUUGUUGGGCUGAAGACCCAGUCAUACUCAGGGUCAAAUCCAAACUGAGUCCCUACAAUGACUAUUUUAAAAAGGUUUUAAAACUAUUUUUAUGAAAAAUAUAAAAAAUUGAUUUUUUUUUCUUUUCCCAUAAUUUUUAUUUAAAAAAAAUGCUAAACCAAUGUCCUUGGAGAACUUGUUAACUUUUCCCAUAAUAAAAUUAGGAAGAAAAAAAAAAAACUAUUAAAAGUUAUUUUUGCUGGUUUUGACUUUUAUUAUGAAUCCAUUUGAUUAGGCAUUUUAGGAGAUUAAAAAGUGUUUUUAAAAUCCAAAACUGACUCAUUUUAAACUCAAAACACAGUCUUUCUAACCUUAUACAAACGUACCCUAAGAACAACCUCAUAGCUUAUCAAAAGUAAUUCAGCAAAAACAAAAAUAGCUUAUCAAAAGUAAGAACAACUUAAUUUAUUAAGGCGAAAGCGGUAUGUGGAGACGAAUUUCGGCUUAACAAAACAUUGUUACAACAGCAAUCUAUCGAGGCGACACGAGAUCGAAACCUGAAGUAGUUGUUAGAUUGUGAGUUGCCUUUAUUGUUUUGUUCGCCGAAGCGCAGAGAGAGAGAGAAUGAUGAGAGUGACCAUGGGGGGAGGAGAGAGAAAGAAAAUCUUGGUGGGUUUGGCAGUGGCAAUGUUUUUGGGAGUAGCAGUAUACUUGAGGCUUUGGACCAUCGAUUAUUCUUUUUCUUCUGAUGACUCCGAAAUCCUAAGGUUUUUCUUCCCCUUCUGUGUUUUUUUCCUUUAUGGGUUCUGCUUCCUAAUCUUUCUUUCUUUCUUUUUGGUUUCUUUAAUGUGUAAUUGAACAUGGGGUUUUUCUUUUUGUGCUUAAAAAUCUUUGUAGAAGAACAGUUUGAUCUUGCAAACAGGGAAGCCAUGGAUGAAUCUGCAGAGUGGAGGCUGAAAUAUGAUGUGGAAGUAGAGAGGUUUACCAACUGUGCCAAAGAACUCAAUGAGGUAUACAAUAACUUAAUUCAUUUGUGGGAUUAGUGUUUUUUGCUUUGGAAUUAUUGGGGUUUUUUUAUAUGAUAGAUUCAUAGCUCAUGUGUCAUAGGAUUUUGUGAAUUGAAUUAAUUGCAAGAUAUGUAUAAUGUACCUUUGUAGCUAUAACUAUAUAUUUUUGUUUGUAUCAGUUCAUAUCCUUUUGUUCUUGAUAGGUAAGAACUCAAUUUUAUUGCCAAAAGGAACGUAUCAAUUUAUAUCCUGUAUAGAUGUUUACAUAGAGAUAACCUGGCAAAGUUUUAUUUCAUUUAGUUUCAUGUUAUAUGAGUUUCUGGUGAGAAUUAUCAACUUCUAACCUGAAAUUCUGUUUUGUUUUAAUCAACCAUGAUUAACCUGAACUUCUAAUACUUGUGCUGUUAUGAAUUCAAACUUGGAUGGAAUUGUAUGCUGAGUUGGUGACAUUGCGUGCUUAUUAAAGUGUUAUAUAUGGAUGACUGAGCAUGUAUGGAGUAUGACAUUUGAGCUAUAAUCCUACAUUGCAUAAACCAUUUUGGGGAAACCAAAAUGUGGUUUUUGAGCUAUAUCCUAAGACUAUUACUGUAUUAAGUAUUUACGUGGCAAUUUAUAAUACUAUCUACGUAUAUCAUUGAAGGAUAUAGUUUAGUUCUAAAUCAGUUUGGACUUUGGAGCUAUUUCCUUUAACUCACUACGUUGUGAUUUAUAAGACUAUCCAUGUGUAUUAUUUAAACAAGUUACAUGACUUAUUAAAAAAUUCAUUUGUGGCAUUGGCCCAAAUUUAGGAAGUUCAUAUUCUAGAGACUUGUAUGCAAUGCAUUCCUCCAUGGUCUCAUUGUGAGGAUACACUCUCUGAUCACCAUUGCACCUCUACUACCUAUCAAAAUUCCAUCCAUGCCAUGGACCUCUGCUAACACUCCCCUCCUUCCAACCAAAAAGUCUAUUAAAUGAUUGAGUUUGUGCUCAAGGAGAGGGGAAAUGGGAGAUUUAAACUAUUGAGCUUCGCUUUAUAAGGUGUGAUUCCAGAUGAUUGUUCUACCCCUAGGGGGUUGGCUAGUUAAGAGAUUAUUGUGUGAAUAAUGUGCAUGGUGGACUGGAUGCUUUGGAACCAUCAUUUAGAUGAUUCAAUAUACAGCAGUUGGGUUAGUUGACAAAAUGAUAACUGCUCAUUUGCAUUAGCCUUCUAAUUGACAGUUGCUUUUUUUAGACUCCAGUAUUGCGUACACUUAACAAUUAUGAUUCUUCUCUAUUUUUCUAUUUCUUCCUUGUCUCUCCCUUUUUAGAAGUAUAGCUGAGGUUUAACAGCCUCUCUUCCUCUGGAUUGAAUAAUUAUGGAUCUCCUUGACAGAUUAAGGAGUCUAUUGAGAACAAGGUGGAAGAUGAGAAAUUGGCAAUGGUACAAAAGGUGACUCUUUACUUCAUAUUAUCAUGUACUUUCCUUUUUCUUUCCCUCAAUGUUCUAGUUGACAUUCUUUAGGAUGCAUUCAGUUUCCGCAUGAUGAGGGACAACCAAAUUCAAUAGCUUAGUGACAACUAAGCUGAGAGUUGUUUGCACAUUAGUAUUUAAUACAGUGCUUUAGUUAAAUCUAACUUUACUUCUGAAAUUGUCUUGAAAGCAAUCGUUGAUAUUUCUUCAAAAAGGCCGGUAGAAUUUCUUUUUUUAUUUUCCGAACCUUCAAAAAAGUGUUUUCACCUCUGUAUUUAUGGACAACCAUGGGAUUCCAGGGUACUAAGAAUAACUUAAAAGUUACAUUCAGUUUGAUUUUUCUGUUCUUUUUCUUACAAAUUCAAACAUUACCAGGAAAAUACAGCCUUGCUUGAAAGGGUGGAAGCCUUAAAACAGGAGCUUGAGGAUGCCAAGCUGAAGUGCAACUUGCAUUAG
rnacentral:sRNA from 1 species